CCUACGGGAGGCAGCAGUGGGGAAUAUUGCACAAUGGGCGCAAGCCUGAUGCAGCCAUGCCGCGUGUGUGAAGAAGGCCUUCGGGUUGUAAAGCACUUUCAGCGGGGAGGAAGGCGUUAAGGUUAAUAACCUUGUCGGUUGACGUUACCCGCAGAAGAAGCACCGGCUAACUCCGUGCCAGCAGCCGCGGUAAUACGGAGGGUGCAAGCGUUAAUCGGAAUUACUGGGCGUAAAGCGCACGCAGGCGGUCUGUCAAGUCGGAUGUGAAAUCCCCGGGCUCAACCUGGGAACUGCAUUCGAAACUGGCAGGCUAGAGUCUUGUAGAGGGGGGUAGAAUUCCAGGUGUAGCGGUGAAAUGCGUAGAGAUCUGGAGGAAUACCGGUGGCGAAGGCGGCCCCCUGGACAAAGACUGACGCUCAGGUGCGAAAGCGUGGGGAGCAAACAGGAUUAGAUACCCGUGUAGUC
rnacentral:rRNA from 1 species